CCGAUUUUCAGCCGACACAUAAGCGGUUUUUAGCCACACUGACGUCGCUGGGAUUUCUGUCUGUCCUCAUGGUGAUAUAAGCCAGAUGAAUUGGGAGACUUUCCAACAAGGCCAGUACCAAAAAUUUAAGAUGAAUUUUGUCGAAAGAUCUUAAUCUCAAAACGAAAAUACUCUUUCCGUUGCCUUCAUUGGUAAGCCAAUUACUAUCUUCAUCUCCAACUGAAACCCCAAAUUUCGGUGGCUUUGGAUGCUCCGCUUAUGGCCAAGUUUAUUGCUGACCCAGAACCGCCUUAAUCAUCGCCGGCAACCCGCAUACCCUCACUUGAGUGUCAACCGACGACCAGUCGGCUUUUAAUGUGCGCCCUGGGCACGCUUAAUAAAUUCACAAUAAAACGCAUUUGAAUCACGCGAA
rnacentral:sRNA from 1 species